GAUGAACGCUGGCGGCGUGCCUAAUACAUGCAAGUCGAGCGAACAGACGAGGAGCUUGCUCCUCUGACGUUAGCGGCGGACGGGUGAGUAACACGUGGAUAACCUACCUAUAAGACUGGGGUAACUUCGGGAAACCGGAGCUAAUACCGGAUAAUAUAUUGAACCGCAUGGUUCAAUAGUGAAAGACGGUUUUGCUGUCACUUAUAGAUGGAUCCGCGCCGCAUUAGCUAGUUGGUAAGGUAACGGCUUACCAAGGCAACGAUGCGUAGCCGACCUGAGAGGGUGAUCGGCCACACUGGAACUGAGACACGGGCCAGACUCCUACGGGAGGCAGCAGUAGGGAAUCUUCCGCAAUGGGCGAAAGCCUGACGGAGCAACGCCGCGUGAGUGAUGAAGGUCUUCGGAUCGUAAAACUCUGUUAUUAGGAAGAACAAAUGUGUAAGUAACUAUGCACGUCUUGACGGUACCUAAUCAGAAAGCCACGGCUAACUACGUG
rnacentral:rRNA from 1 species